rnacentral:tRNA from 1 species
GUCCCCUUCGUCUAGAGAUCUAGGACAUCGCCCUUUCACGGCGGCAGCAGGGGUUCAAAUCCCCUAGGGGACGA